rnacentral:rRNA from 1 species
GACGAACGCUGGCGGCGUGCCUAAUACAUGCAAGUAGAACGCUGAAGGAGGAGCUUGCUUCUCUGGAUGAGUUGCGAACGGGUGAGUAACGCGUAGGUAACCUGCCUGGUAGCGGGGGAUAACUAUUGGAAACGAUAGCUAAUACCGCAUAAUAGUAGAUGUUGCAUGACAUUUGCUUAAAAGUUGCAAUUGCAUCACUACCAGAUGGACCUGCGUUGUAUUAGCUAGUUGGUGAGGUAACGGCUCACCAAGGCAACGAUACAGAGCCGAACUGAGAGGGGGAGUGGCCACCCUGGGAGUGAGACCCGGCACAGACGGCUACGGGAGGCAGCAGUAGGGAAUCUUCGGCAAUGGGCGGAAGACUGACCGAGCAACGCCGAGUGAGUGAAGAAGGAUUUCGGAUCGUAAAGCUCUGUUGUAAGGGAAGAACGAGUGUGAGAGUGGAAAGUUCACACUGUGACGGUAUCUUACCAGAAAGGGACGGCUAACUACGUG